UCCGUAGGGUGCGAGCGUUAAUCGGAAUUACUGGGCUUAAAGCGUGUGUAGGCGGAUUGGUAAGUACCUUGUGAAAUCCCACGGCUCAACCGUGGAACUGCUCGGUAUACUGCCUGUCUUGUGCAACCUAGGGGCGAGCGGAACAGAUGGUGGAGCGGUGAAAUGCGUAGAUAUCAGCUGGAACGCCAAUGGUGAAAACAGCUCGCUGGGGGUUUGCAGACGCUGAGACACGAAAGCCAGGGGAGCGAACGGG
rnacentral:rRNA from 1 species